rnacentral:lncRNA from 1 species
AUGGGAUGUCACUGCAGGAGGGGGAGAGCAACUAAAUAUCCUAGUAAUUGCCUCUUUGGGAAGUCAGAAGGGGUGGUUAUUAAAAAGAUAUUGAUGCACUUCUGUGAAAGGCAUAACUAUCAAGCUAUUAGCCUCUUUGUCUUCCUCUUAUUCUUUUCCUUUCUCCUAUUGAUAAAGUUACUUGAUAAUUAUUUGCAAAUGCAGCAAAUCAGUCAAUCAAGCACACAGAUAUGUCAUCACUUUUUCGCCUUUUGCAUUCUGCCGAUCUUUUUACAAGAGAGCUCCACCAUAGAAGGCAAACAGAAAGAGUUAGUCCAUGGAAGUUCAUACGUCAGAGCUGAUGACUUUAAGCAGCGGAUGAUCAGUGCAUGGCUGGCUACAGAUGGAAACUCUGGGCUUGAAGUGUAGAUUUCUCUGAGCAUGUCCUCCCCUGGGAGAAAUGAAUUGAUAAGAAGGUAGGUGCAUUUUGGAAUCGUCUGUCAUAUACGUGAGAUGGACAUUGAUACCAAGUCUGCUUACUGAUCUCUUCAUUUGAUGCCCUGGAUAUUUCACAGAUAAUUGUGUAAUAACUUAAUGGAAAAUCAUUUAAAGGUUUCUAUAAAAAAAAAAAACACAAAACAAAACAAACAACCACCAACAAACAAACAAAAAUCCCAGCACUAUCAUCUUUCUGUAGCACAGCCUGUAACGUUGGCAAGGCUUUAUGUGGCACUUGCUCUAGGGUUUGUUUGGCUCAUGGGGCACAAAACCAGCCAAGGCAAUGAGAGAACGGGUUGUUCUGUGGCCAACUAGGUGAAAGGCUGCGUUUGUUGUGUGGUGCAGCUUUAGCAGCACGGAGAAUUUGUGCAAUGGACACAAAGGCCCCGAGUUUGAGGGUAGUCAGGAGAGAGGGGCAAAAAUGGUGAGAAACACAGCAGGCAAUAAAGCAUGGAAAUGGGGAUAUGGAGAAGUGCAAAACAUGGUAGUUUUUGUAGGAGGAACACAUGGAUGGGGUACAUCUGUUCUUCAGAAUAGUAUAGAAAUACAUAAGCUAAUGAGUAAGUGAAGGCCAUCUUGCUGAGCUAGCAUGGAAAGGGGAAAGAGAAUGCUAGUUGAGGUAUCUGCUCCGUGUUGUGCAUUGGUUUGCUGGUGUAAAGGUAAGAAACAGAUUCUGAGGAAUUAAAAUAUUAGAAAAUACUUUUUUUGUGUUGGUUGUCUUGUCCCCUUACAGAGCUCAGUGCAGAACUUAAAUAAUAAGUCUGGCAGGCUCCACAGCAGCCGAUGGGAAAUGGAGCAGGUAGAAGGGAGCAGUGAGUAAAGGGCACGUGGGAGGCAUAUGGAGCAGGUGUUUGAAGGGCACAGAGAAUGU